CAUCAUCAAGAUCCGACGUCCUCUGUCCUUUUUUCCGAUUGAUGUGAGUAAGCCUCCACCACCCGCUUCCAACUCUGUAAAAUUUGUUGCUGUAGUUGGCAUGAGAGGCGCCUUGAUGCAAAGCUACAGGUUUGCAUGGGUGCUGCUGGCUGCUGCCCCCUUGCCCCCUGGCCAGCAGGGUUGUCCAUGAUCAGGGCCCCCAAGCAGCCAAGCUAAGGAGUAACAUGCCGCAGCUUCUGCCCACCACCAUGUAUGAGACAUGGAAAUCUAGGAAGCUGCAGGUUUGUGCGACAGUCAUGCUCACGAUGUGUUUUCUGAAAUGCUUUCAUGUAGAUUGAUGUUUAUAUAUUAUAAGCAUUUGUAAAAUAUUCAUGUACAAUGCAGUAUGCAACAAUAAAUCACAUCUCCCAGCAAUGGCUACGUACCAUUACUCUUAUCACCUUAGACUAAGUUGUAUGAAUUAGAUGGCUGAGCACUUAUGUUUUUGUAGUAGGUUCUGUGUCCUUCGCGCACAUAAAAUUCAGAAAUAAAUUUGGUACAUGGCUGAUUGACUUUGUUCGUGUGGAUUAUCAGUUUACCAGCAAUGAUGGACUUUGUUUACGUGGAGUACCAAUUUAGCAGCAACUCUGUUGUAACUUUGGCAACACAACCAACAUCAAGUGUCACACUGGUAGUCUAGGGUCAGUUCAAAAUUCGAAUUAGAGAUAGUUUGAUCUACGUGUAGUUCAUCGUCCAUUUCUAAAUCACCAAGGAUUGAUUUUAUUGACACAAGUUUCUCUACCUGUUGUUUUCUAUUAGGUAAAAAUAGUUAUUGGCUCCUCUUGUAAUCUACAAUAAGUAUCCCUUUUGACACUCAUUUAAAUAGAAUUUUUUAUUAUUACUGUGGAAGCAGAAACACACUUGAGAAGGAUUUCAUUUAGUAUGUGCUUUGAGUUUUCAUAGUCUAUUAUUGACAUGGAUUUUCCUUCUGCUAGAGAGGCUGGUGCCAAUCUACAUCAAAACAACGGCAAGUUAACAAAAGAGGAUGCUGGAGUUGUACUGUGACUACUGUUAGAUCUGUUUUUGCACUUCUGAAUUUUAUUUGAGAAUGAAUCUCGAAGGUAUAACUUCUGCAAAAUGCUAGCGCCCACCUAAAGAUGACAAGAUUUUCUUCUUCUAAAUGUAAUGAGGCAUGAGCCACAAACUCUUCAUAGAACUUUGAAGCAAAAUAUUGAUCCCCUGCAUGCAUAUAUGAUUGCGAACCAAUUUUUUUCCAGUCCGUUCGUUUUUAACAUAAUAUUUCUCUGGGUGAUGUAACAUAAGUAUAUUAUUGAUAAAAUUAAGUGAUAUUAUUAAUACUUGAUUUAUCUGGGCAUAAAAAUGUCGAGAUAAUAGCUCUAGCACUCAUGCCCACAAUUUGAAAAUGGUAGGACUAUUCUUUACUUUUACCCAUAUAUAGAAGUGAUAACCCCCCUCCCCCUACACAUAUAGCGAGAUAAUAGCUCUAGCACUCAUGCCCACAAUUUGAAAAUGGUAGGACUAUCCUUUACUUUUACCCAUAUAUAGAAGUGAUAACCCCCCUCCCCCUACACAUAUAGCAUUUUUCUCCCGUUGCAACGCACGGCCA
rnacentral:lncRNA from 1 species